CACAGUACAGCUGCCAACCUGGGGCUGUGUCAGAACAGGAGGGCAGCUGACUCCUGCCCACAGGCCCCAAAGACCCAGAAGCCAGCAGUGCACUUUCUGAUGGGCCUGGUCUCAGCUGAAGGAGGCCCCAAGGCCCUUCCUGCACUGGCCAGGGCUGACAGGGCAGAGGUUGGGAGGACGGUAGGGAAGGGGGCAGAGCCAGCCACUGCUACACCUGCUGCACUCCGACCCAGAGACAGGGAGAGACACUCAGCCCCUUUGAGCACAGGGAGGGGCCAGGUGCAGGGGCCACGCCUCCUACCUCAGCGACCCAGGGGGCUGCGGCAGGGCAUGCAAGGUCCAGGCCGGUCUGGGCCAUGCAGCCAGAAGGCAUCCCAAGCUAAAUCUGGCUGGGAUGCAGUCCAGGGGAAGAGCACCUGGGUUUAACCCCAGCACCGUUAGCCCCAGGGAGACACUCACGUGCCCUGGGGUGACUAUGACCAAAAGAUGUCACGAGGGAGAGCUGCCAGCACUGUGCAGAGGUCAGCAGCCUCAGGACCACCACUGCUGGUGACCAGCCUGGCAGCGCCACCAAGGUGAAAUGCAGUCACCACCAGGGCCAGCAACCCCUCCUAGUGGAUGCCUGAGUCCAGAACAGACAGCUGACACACAAAGGGUGCACACGGAAACAGCCAAGGUCCACCAACAGGAGGUGGACACACAGCCUGGCCACGCACACCUGGAGCGUCCUGGCCAGGGCAGGAGCGAGGCGACACACUGCAGCAUGGGUGGACCUGAGGACCACGUGCUCAGUGACAGCCAGGCACACAAGGCCCAGUGACAGAGGAGUCCAGGGCAGGAGGCUCCAGAAAUCGACGUGCACCCGCGGGUGCGACGGGGCUUGCUUUUUCCCUGAAGCUUUCAUGAAUGUGUCUCUCUAGAGAUCAUGAAUAUCACAUGUCAUUGUCACAACUCCAUAGCCCGAUGGAAGGGAGCUGAACACGCCUGUCAACAGACACUCAAUGUCCUCUUUCAGAGUAUUUCCUAUGGAAAGUAAGUUCAUCUGCAGAGGUGUGUGUGAGUGUGUGUGUGUGUGAGUGAGUGUGUGUGCCUCUGUGUGUGUCUCUCUGUGUGUCAGAGUGUGUGUCUCUGUGUGUGUCUGUGUGUGUGCAUCUGUGUGUGUGUGUGUCUCUGUGUGUGUCUGUGUGUGUGCAUCUGUGUGUGUGUGACUGUGUCUGUGUGUCUGUGUGUGUGUCUCUGUGUGUGUGUCUGUGUGUGUCUCUGUAUGUGUGUCUCUGUGUGUGAGAGUGUGUCUGUGUGUGUGUGUCUGUGUGUGUGUGAGUGUGUGAGAGAGUGUGUGUGCCUCUGUGUGUCUCUGUGUGUGUGUCUGUGUGUGUAUCUGUGUGUAUGUGUCUGUGUGUGUGUCUCUGUGUGUGUGUCUCUGUGUGUGUGUCUCUGUGUGAGUGAGUGUGUGUGCCUCUGUGUGUGUCUGUGUGUGUGUGUCUCUGUGUGUGUCUCUGUGUGUGUCAGAGUGUGUGUCUGUGUGUGUCUGUGUCUGUCUCUGUGUGUGUGAGUGUGUGAGAGAGUGUGUCUCUGUGUCUGUAUCUGUGUGUGAGUGUGUGUGUGAGUGUGAGUGUGUGUGGGUGUGAGUGACAGGGCUUCACUUUACUAUGCCCCUUGAGGCUUUGGAACUUACAAGGCUUCUCUUUUUCCCUAAUCUUCUCCCUGAACUUCUCCUCCCUGAUCUCAUUUUCUCUGAAUGUCUCCGUGAUAAACCUCGGUCUGCCCAGGGGCAGAACCGCAGCCUGGGGAACCGGACCUGUCUUGAUAUUGAACUGGCGUAGAGGACGAGGACCAAGCUCUGGUUACGUGUGUGGUGUGUGCAUUUGGUGGCCCAUUGCAGUUUCCUGUGGCUGGUGACAGCAGUGCUGGAGAGCCAGCCUCGCCCUGCGCCUCGCGCCCCGGCUCUUCCUGCCCGUCUGCUGCUGGGAUCCGCAGGGCCUUGAUACAUUUAAAACCAAAUUCCAAGUCUCCCAGCUGCUAGAAAACAUUUAAAAUUAGAAUGGGCUACAAAGGAGAAGACAACCACCCCAGUGACGGAGGCAACAAGUGUCAAUAUUGCAGGUGUUGAUACAUUGUACAGGUUUUAAAAUUUUUAUUUUGUAGCUUUAGAUUAUUCUUUUUCGCCCAAAUAACGCUUGUUCCCUAUUUUUACUUUCCCUUUUUGUCCUGAGAAUUGAAUCAGAAUGCUCUACCACUGAGCUGUACCCCCAACCCUGUUUGAGACAGGGUCUCUUAAGUUGCUGAGGGUGGCCUUGAACUUGCAACCUCCUGCCUCAGCCUCCCCCCAUGGAUCGAACGACAGGCGUGGCCACCAUGCCUGGCCUACUUAUUUCACUUUUUUUAAAAAUAUAUUUAUUUUUUUAGGUGUAGAUGGACACAACACCGGGCCUUUAAUUUUAUGUGGUGCUGAGGAUGGAACCUGGGUCCCCUCCCGCCCGUGCUAGACAGGGCUCUACCCCUGAGCCACAAUCCCAGCCCCUUAUUUCACUUUUUAAAAUGAAAGUCAAGCCACCCUGAGCUCUUUCCUCCCACACCCCAAGCUUCUCUGUGGAGCCAACAGGGUCUGAAUUCGUGGACGUCACCCUGGAGGACAGUCACCCUGGAGGACAGCCGUGGGAUCACCCCCUGUGGCAGGCCCCGCCAACUUCCCUCAGCACCACCCCUCCCGGUUUUCCACACAACUUCCUCUUUUUCUCAAGAUAAAAUAGGUCCCAACAAUGAAAACAAACACUCGGAGACGUUCACAUUCAUCUCCAAAGCGGGCCUCUGGAACGCCCUUGGUCACUUCCAGAUAUUGUGGGGGAUUCCGGUCAGGCACCCCGGCAGCCAGGACCCGCUCACUUGUUUCAAUCUAGUACUUUUCCAGCCAUCUGCAAAGUCUCCCUGCAACAGUCCUGUCCCUGGGGGUCCCUGCUCCCCCUGGCCCCGAGAAGUCAAAGCCAACAGGGUCUUGCCCACAGCCUCGAUUCAGAGGAGAGGCUGACCCCAAGAACCCAGAGUUCCCCAGGCUCUCUGAAGCAUGUCCUUGAUAGUUCACCUCCCAACUGAGGAAUGAGUGAUAAGGCAGAGGGCGGGGAGGGGCCUGCAGCCCUCCAGUGGGGCUCCUGGCUCUGGUCCCUCCUGGGUUCCCUGGUCCCUGCAUCCCAGGCGGCUGGAAGGGUCUGUGGUCCUGGGCGGAGCAGGGAGGCCAGCAUUCCUCAGAUUGUUUAUUUGUUUGUUUAAUCUGGGCUGGGCCAGGAACACCUCCUCCCGUCUGCAUUGGGUGGUAUUUGGAUUCUUGCUGCAGCCCAGAGCCCCUGUCCUGGGUUUCCCUGCUGGGCCCCGGGUGGUGCCCUACUCCAGAUGCACACUGGUGGCUACUGAGCUUUCUCCCCCGCCCCCCCUGCCCCCGUGCUGGGCUGGACCUAGGGCCUCACGAAUGCUGGACAGCGCUGACCACUGAGUGCUACCGCCCUGUUUGCUUUUGUCCCACGCAUUCAGUCCCUAAGUCCCUAGGCCUCCCAGCCUUGCCCUGUGGCCCCUAUGACCCUCUGCAGACCCUCCCCAGCUCAAAGUCACCUACCAUGUGGGACAACCACUGUCCAGCCAGCACACGGCUCCUGUCCCUCCCAACUUGGUGGCCGAGGAUGACCGAGAUGGGAAGAUGAGAUUCCUGCUGCCGGCAGCCAGGUGGGAUCUCUGUGGACCCCGAGGUCUGGAUGUCAGGAGGGCCAGGGAGGCAGAACCCCGGGCAGUGGGCACUGAGACUAAUGUCCCUCACUUGAUGAAGCACUCACAGGGGUCAGCCAUCCGUCCCCAGAGCCUGUGUUUGGGCCCAGCACUGCCCUGGAGGGUCCCAGCAGGUGGCCUGCGUGGGAACCACCCCCAAAGGCUGAGCUUGUGGAAUCCUGGGAUGGUAGCAGCAGGUAGGUGUGCCUUCCUGGGUGACGCACACCCAGACACCGUGCCUCUGGUGGAGUCAUGCACAUCGAGGCCUGGGCGGCCCCGGAGGGAGGCUGAGGUGCCCGCUGUGGCCUCGGAGGAGGGGUUGGGGAGUGGAUCCCCUUCCUGCAGACUUGGACCCUCGGGGAAGGAAAAGCAGGGUGGCGCGUAGGGUGGUGGACCGUCCCCCAGCAUGCCCCUGCUCUGAGGUCUCCCCAGCACUGCAGAAAAAGAGAAGAAAAGCAGGUGGUUGUCCUCAGGGAACUGGGGACUGAGGAUCACCUCCACCCUCCCCUGGUCUGAGCACUUCCAGGGCCAGCAUCCUGUCCCCAGAACAUGGCCCCGGCUCAGCACCCCUGGGCGACACUCAGCCCCUGACCCGCCCGGGAUGGCCAGCACAGACCUGAGCCCACACCCUGCUGCCUAGUCAGUGGUCAAGUGGACACAGACUGGAACCUCAGAAUCUGAGCCAAAGAAACCCUUCUUCCUCUACGUUGAUUUUCUUUCUUUCUUUUUUUCUUUCUUUCCUUCCUUCUUUCUAGAAAUAGAAUUUUAUUGUAUCUUUUAAGUAACUGUGGUACAGGGUGGUGGCUCAGCGGUAGAGCACUCGCCUAGCUCGUGCGAGGCCCUGGGUUCGAUCCUCAGCACCACAUAGAAAUAAAUAAAAUAAAGGUGUUGUGUCCAACUCAAACUGAAAAAUUAAUAUAAAAAAAGUAACUGUGGUACAGGGUUGUGCUCAGAGGUGGAGCACUCGCCUAGCAUGCUAAGGGUUCGACCCUUAGCACCACAUACAAAAUAAAACAAAAUAGAGAUAUUGUGUCCACCUAUAACUAAAAAAUAAAUAUUAAAAAAGUAACUGUUGCACAAAGAAACUACAAAUUAUGAACUCCAGAAUGCUUCCAAAUAAUUUAUUUUCACAUGAAUUUUUUUUUAAAUCUACUACACGGGUAAGUAUUAUUGUCUUUUUUUUUUUUAAGAGCGAGCGAGAGAG
rnacentral:lncRNA from 1 species